GCGUGUGCGUGUGCGUGUGCGUGUGUGUGUGUGCGGGUGUGUGUGCGUGCGUGUGUGCGUGCGUGUGUGUGUGUCCGCGUGUGUGUGCGUGUGUGUUUGGGGGCCGCGCCCGCCCGUGAUGCGGGGGUUCCUCCCUGCUCUGCACGCGGCAGUCACUCUUGGCAGGCUCAGGGGACCCGGUGGGAUGCCAGGGGCCCACCCGGGCUCGGGUCUUGAGCGUAGCCGGGGAGAUGGGACUGGAGACUGGAGGGUGUCAUGUGAAGCAUAAAUGGGAAGAAGAAAGACAAAUGCCAGGUGAUCUCACACGUGUGCCAUAUGAAGAAACAGAGAAAGGGAACGGACAGAGCGUGCAAGGCAAGUGCUCCACCACUGGAUGUGAAAUUUGGCAUAUGCGGCCGCAUAUGCCAGGAGCUUCGGAACCUGGUGGCUUCUGCAGCUUGGUGUGUCUCGGAGGUUCUUCUGGCGCUGGGUCGUUUAUGUGUCUGAGGAGGAGAGUCUGUUUGAUCUGUGAAAGUGUGGAAACCGGAACAAACAUGCAUCGGCGGCAGAGUAUAAGACAGCACCGGCCCAGAUGACCUUCAACCCAGCGGCCAGAGCUGCAGUUAGCUUUCUAUGGACAGCUUGGCACUGGAAAGGCCAAGGAAAUGGAGGCUCACAAGAAGAGGCAGUGAAGAAACAGGCCUAGCGGUGCUGUCCAGUACGGCAACUAAAAAUCUUAUUAGGAGGCUCUG